GACGAACGCUGGCGGCGUGCUUAACACAUGCAAGUCGAACGGAAAGGCCCUGCUUUUGUGGGGUGCUCGAGUGGCGAACGGGUGAGUAACACGUGAGUAACCUGCCCUUGACUUUGGGAUAACUUCAGGAAACUGGGGCUAAUACCGGAUAGGAGCUCCUGCUGCAUGGUGGGGGUUGGAAAGUUUCGGCGGUUGGGGAUGGACUCGCGGCUUAUCAGCUUGUUGGUGGGGUAGUGGCUUACCAAGGCUUUGACGGGUAGCCGGCCUAGAGGGUGACCGGCCACAUUGGGACUGAGAUACGGCCCAGACUCCUACGGGAGGCAGCAGUGGGGAAUAUUGCACAAUGGGCGGAAGCCUGAUGCAGCAACGCCGCGUGCGGGAUGACGGCCUUCGGGUUGUAAACCGCUUUCGCCUGUGACGAAGCGUGAGUGACGGUAAUGGGUAAAGAAGCACCGGCUAACUACGU
rnacentral:rRNA from 1 species